GAUGAACGCUGGCGGCGUGCCUAAUACAUGCAAGUCGAGCGAACAGACGAGGAGCUUGCUCCUCUGACGUUAGCGGCGGACGGGUGAGUAGCACGUGGAUAACCUACCUAUAAGACUGGGAUAACUUCGGGAAACCGGAGCUAAUACCGGAUAAUAUAUUGAACCGCAUGGUUCAAUAGUGAAGGACGGUUUUGCUGUCACUUAUAGAUGGAUCCGCGCCGCAUUAGCUAGUUGGUAAGGUAACGGCUUACCAAGGCGACGAUGCGUAGCCGACCUGAGAGGGUGAUCGGCCACACUGGAACUGAGACACGGUCCAGACUCCUACGGGAGGCAGCAGUAGGGAAUCUUCCGCAAAGGGCGAAAGCCUGACGGAGCAACGCCGCGUGAGUGAUGAAGGUCUUCGGAUCGUAAAACUCUGUUAUUAGGGAAGAACAAAUGUGUAAGUAACUAUGCACGUCUUGACGGUACCUAAUCAGAAAGCCACGGCUAACUACGUG
rnacentral:rRNA from 1 species